CCCUUAGAUGUCCUGGGCCGCACGCGCGUUACACUGAUGCCUUCAACGAGCUUAUAACCUUGGCCGAGAGGCCUGGGCAAUCUUGUUAACGUGCAUCGUGAUGGGGAUAGAUUAUUGAAAUUAUUAAUCUUGAACGAGGAAUUCCUAGUAAACGCAGAUCAUCAAUCUGCAUUGAUUACGUCCCUGCCCUUUGUACACACCGCCCGUCGCACCUACCGAUUGGAUGGUCCGGUGAAGCCUCGGGAUUGUGGUUCUUGCCGCUUUAUUGUGGCGUGACCGCGAGAACUUGUCUAAACCUUAUCAUCUAGAGGAAGGUGAAGUCGUAACA
rnacentral:rRNA from 1 species